CUCUUGACAACUGUCAAGUCCAAUAUCCACAAGAAUACCCUUCACUUUCUUCCGAGAUCUUCUUAUAUUAUCAAGAUUUUGCACAGGAAUUUGAAACAUGUCAAACUGCCUGAAAGACAAAGAUACAAAAUAGAGAAAAAAGGCCUUGCUACAAUUUAAACAUAAACAAGGGAAUUUAAGAAAUGAAAAUGUUUUGGAAAUGGAACCUAUCAUGAAAACCAAUCUGGAACAGCAGCAAAUUAGCAUAUAUGGAGCUUCAAUAUGGGCUCAGUAGAGGACAUUCAUGCCCAUGGUUGUUCUAUAUGUCAUAAGUAUAUUUCACCCCACAUCUAACUCAGAUAUAAUGGUAAGUCUAUCUAAUGUAAAUCACCAAAAAUUGCUAGUAACUAUGGUUGGUCAAAAUUAGUAUAUUCUUAAGGCCAUCAAAGAUGAUUCUAUUAAUGAUUUUAAUUACUCAUAAAGCCUAUAGGUAUUAAAAACUUAAACAUAUAUAGAAUAACAGUGAACCAUGUUAUAAAUUUGCAAUGAACCAUCUGUUUCCCUAGAGCAGUGCUUCUCAAUUAUUUUCUGUCAUGCCCCCUUAGGAAGAAGAAAACAUUUUUCGUGCCCCCUGCGCGACUGUAAAUAGUAUCAUUAUUAAAAAAAAACGAGGUCAAACGGGCCCCUCUUUACGGAGCCUCACGCCCCCCCUGGGGGGCGCGCCCCACUAUUUGAGAAGCACUGCCCUAGAGGCACACAGCAAAAACAAGCAGGAAGAAUCGAUGACAGCUUGUAGACAGUAUCUAGAAUUGGUAUCUCCUUUGUUCUAUUCUCUUUUAGGUAUUAUGCUAUUAUAAUGUAAACAUGCAUUAUGAAUCUCAGUUGACGUUUUUGGUUGCCCCAACCAAAAGACAUAUUUAUUGUAUAUGAUCCAACUUGGGGACACUUGAUGAUAAUUUUUCAUCUUUGCAGUAUACUUUAAUCAACUCAGUAAUUUAAAAUUAGACAUGUGGAAAAAGUAGGUAUAACCACAUUGAAUUUUUUGACCUUUUUAACAUAUUUGAUCUUCAUUUCAACAAUGAAG